CAGCAGCCGCGGUAAAACGUAGGUGGCAAGCGUUGUCCGGAAUUAUUGGGCGUAAAGGGCUCGCAGGCGGUUUCUUAAGUCUGAUGUGAAAGCCCCCGGCUCAACCGGGGAGGGUCAUUGGAAACUGGGAAACUUGAGUGCAGAAGAGGAGAGUGGAAUUCCACGUGUAGCGGUGAAAUGCGUAGAGAUGUGGAGGAACACCAGUGGCGAAGGCGACUCUCUGGUCUGUAACUGGCGCUGAGGAGCGAAAGCGUGGGGAGCGAACAGGAUUAGAUACCCCCGUAGUCCCUGUCUCUUAUAC
rnacentral:rRNA from 1 species